UACAGAGGGUGCGAGCGUUGUCCGGAAUCACUGGGCGUAAAGGGCGCGUAGGUGGCGACCCAAGUCCAUGGUGAAAGCUCGAUGCUCAACAUCGAGUCGGCCACGGAUACUGGGUUGCUCGAGCACUGUAGAGGCAGAUGGAAUUCCGGGUGUAGCGGUGGAAUGCGUAGAGAUCCGGAGGAACACCAGAGGCGAAGGCGGCCUACUGGGCUGGCGACCUGACGCUGAGCCGCGGAAAGCCAGGGGAGCGAACGGG
rnacentral:rRNA from 1 species